UUUAAGUGUAGCCAUAAUUUUCCGUGCCCAAUUUUAAUCGUCCGUCUUAUUUAAAAAAAUUUAAAAACAUAAGUCAUGAAUAAAGUAUUGUUCAUAUUUUAUCAUCUCAUAACAACAAAAAUACUAAUUAUAAAAAAAAUUCAAAUAAAACGGACAAUCAAAGUUGGACAUGGAAACUUAUGGUUGCACUUAAA
rnacentral:pre_miRNA from 1 species